GACAAGUGGAAACGUAUUGGAAACCUAUUGAAAUUGAUCGCGGUGAGGACACUCGCCGCCGUCGUCUUCUGUUUCUUCGAAAAUUCCAUUGGUUUUGGCGAAGUUCUUGUCUCUGUCGCUCGUCGUAGUUGGAUUUUCAUCGAUUAUCUUAUUUAGUAGAUCGCGGUUUGAGAUGGGAUAGAUAUUCCGAGGGGCGCAGUUUCCGUACGGGUAUCGCUAGUAAUUCUUGCGACUACACUAGUGCGCCACCGUAAAAAAAGGCUUCUGGGCGGCGAUCAAAAUUCGUCCGAUCUCGCGCAUUCCCACCACCAAACAUUCCCGAACGCUGGCCCGCCGCCGUCCUCGCAACACCGUGUCAGUGUUUGUAUACAGCGCGUACCAUAAUAUUUUGCCCGUAAUUUUACGUGUGCGUGCGUGCACACUACCCGAAGAAGAACAACGCCAUGUUCUAAUGAUGGGAACAGGUGAUACAAGUUCUUCCGAUUGCGGCUCU